UUUCUUCUAAAGCUAAAUACCGGCCAGAGACCGAUAGCGCACAAGUAGAGUGAUCGAAAGAUGAAAAGCACUUUGGAAAGAGAGUCAAACAGUACGUGAAAUUGUUGAAAGGGAAGCGCUUGCGACCAGACCUGUCCGCGGGCGAUCAACCUCUGUUCUCAGGGGUGCACUCGUCCGCGAUCAGGCCAGCAUCGGUUCGGGCGGCCGGAUAAAGGCCUUGGGAAUGUAGCUCCUCUCGGGGAGUGUUAUAGCCCUCGGUGCAAUGCGGCCAGCCCGGACCGAGGACCGCGCUUCGGCUAGGAUGCUGGCGUAAUGGUUGUAAGCGACCCGUCUUGAAACACGGACCAAGGAGUUGACCAUUUAUGCGAGUGUUUGGGUGUCAAGCCCAUGCGCGUAAUGAAAGUGAACGGAGGUGAGAACCCGUACGGGCGCAUCAUCGACCGAUCCAGAUGUCUUCGGAUGGAUUUGAGUACGAGCAUAACUGGUCUGACCCGAAAGAUGGUGAACUACACUUGAAUAGGGUGAAGCCAGAGGAAACUCUGGUGGAGGCUCGCAGCGGUUCUGACGUGCAAAUCGAUCGUCAAAUUUGAGUGUAGGGGCGAAAGACUAAUCGAACCAUCUGAGCAGCCAUCUACUGGAUGGUUCCGUCGGGCCCCGGGUGGGCCCGAACCAGUCCCCCGCGGGGGGCCACAUCGCCAGUCUUCGGGUACGCCUUUGGGCUACCUGCAGCGGGCCCGUCGGGGCUCGUUCACAGACUAAACGGCGGUGGCCGCGCUCACGGCGUG
rnacentral:rRNA from 1 species